UUGGAGCUUCAGCUUCAGCAUCAGUCCUUCCAAUGAACACUCAGGACUGAUUUUCUUUAGGAUGGACUGGUUGGCUCUCCUUGCAGUCCAAGACUCUCAAGAGUCUUCUCCGGCACCACAGUUUUCAUUCAGGCAGUCAAUAAACAUCUACGAGGUCCACUGUGGCCCAGCAAGCUCAGGAGCAACCUCAGGCUGUGCUCAGCCCCAGUCACGGCACAUAGUAGGUCCACAGGAAAUAUCGUCAAACAAAUGAAAGGAAGGUACCAAUGAAUAAAGGGGCCCUCGUCCAUGUAAGAUAAUGGAUCAUGGCCAGCACUGAUUGGGUGCCUACUGUGUGCCAGACCCACCCCCAGCUGGAGAGGACACCAGCUCGGCGGGAGGGACAACGAUCAUCCCCACUCCAUGGUGAGAAGGCUGAGGUCUGGAAGGGACACCGAUUGCCCAAGGCCUUGUAGCCAGGAAGCCGCAGGGCUGGCAUUGGAGCCCAGGCCUCCCAGAUCCUAGGCUGCACGCCCUGCCUUGGCAUUUUGUAUGCUCUGACUCCAUUUGUAUGCUCUAUCCUCCCAACCCUAUGAGGUAGCUGGUGGCAUUAUCCCAUCUUAUGGAUGAGGCAGCGGAGCUCAGAGAGGUGGAGUGACUCACCCGGGGUCACACAGCAUGGGUGUUCAAUCUAUGGGCCACCAAGCCCUGCCCCUGGUAACACUGACUCCCCUCUGAGGAGGGUUAAUGAGACCCACAGGGGAGGUGGGCUGGAGGGUUAGGCCCCUUGGGGUCUGUAGGACCAGGCUGGAGGGUCUGGAGGAGGCGGGGUCUGGGGUGGGCGGACUGGAGCAGGUGGGCCUGGGGAGCCGCCAGCCUUCCGCCCCCACACUCGGGCGCAGCCGCGGGGAGGCUGUGGAAAGUCUGUCGGUCCUGUGCGGCGGCCUGACAAUGGCUCCUUGUGUCUGCGUGGCGGGAGGGGAGGGGCACCAUUGUUCUCCGGGACACCUUCCCGCCAGGGCUGGCUGCGGGCGGUCCCCAGCCCAGGACACUUGGCACAGGGCUGUUCCGGGCGCCUGAAGGAGGUGUGUGCCCGCACCUGUGUGUGUGUUGCUGGAGUGUGACUGUGUGCACAGAGGGGCACGUGUGUCUGACACCGUCACUGAGUGUGCACAUGCAUGCCUUGCACGCUGGGGUGCUGUGUCUGAGCAGGCUUGCGGCUCCCUGCGUCUACUGCGUCCCAGCGUGCCUUCCUGGGUGUGUCUGCAGCAGGCUUGUGGGAUCCCAGUUCCCCGACCAAGGAUCAAACUUGUGCCCUCUGCAGUGGAAGUACGGAGUCUCAACCACUGGACCACCAAGGAAGUCCGGAUAUUUUCUGUCUUUAGUCUCCAUGGCUCACAAUGGGUUGGCUCCUGCAGGAGUUUUAUAGUUUCUGGUCUCUCGUGCCUCUCCGACUGCCGGCGAUGGCCGGGUAUGGGCCCGAUGCUCCAGCGCCAUCCAUUUUCAGGGCUAGUUGAUUCGGCAGGUGAGUUGUUACACACUCCUUAGCGGAUUCGGACUUCCA